CGGAUACCAGUCGCGGACGGGUGAGUAAUACAUAGGCAACCUGCCUUUAUGAGGGGGAUAACCGAGGGAAACUUUGGCUAAUACCGCAUGAAGACUCUAAGGCAUCUUAGAGGGAUAAAAGUUGGGAAACAACGCAUGAAGAUGGGCUUAUGGCGCAUUAGCUAGUUGGUGAGAUAGAAGCCCACCAAGGUAAUGAUGCGUAGCCGACCUGAGAGGGUGAACGGCCACAUUGGGACUGAGACACGGCCCAAACUCCUACGGGAGGCAGCAGUAGGGAAUUUUCGGCAAUGGGGGGAACCCUGACCGAGCAACGCCGCGUGAAGGAAGAAGGUUUUCGGAUUGUAAACUUCUGUUAUAAGGGAAGAACGGAUUGGAUAGGGAAUGAUCUGAUAGUGACGGUACCUUAUUAGAAAGCCACGGCUAACUACGUGCCAGCCGCCGC
rnacentral:rRNA from 1 species